AGCGGGUGACUUAAACAACGGAAGUUUCUGCUCUCACAGUUCCGGAGGCCAGAAGUCUGAAUUCCAGGUGUUAGCAGGGCUGUCCACCCGCAAAGUCUCUAGGGGAGGGUCCUUCCUGCCUCUCCCAGCUUCAACGGCAUUCCUUGGCUUGUGGCCGCGUCACUCCACUCUCAGCCCUCCAUCUUCAUGUGGCAUUCUAUCUGUGUGCACGGUGUCUCUUUUGCCUUUUCUUCAAAGGACAUCUUUCAAGAUUAGAGCCUCCCCAGUCCAGCGUGACCUCGUCUUAACUCAGUGACAUCUGCAAAGGCCCUAGUUCCAAACGAUAUCACAUUCACAGUUCUAGAUAGACGUGAAUUUAUGGGGCAAACGCUUUGACUCAGUACGGGAGCACGUGGAGACUUUUAAGUAAAUCCUAAGUGGCCUGCCCAAGGGCACCAGCUGAGAAGAAACCCAGCCGGACUGAAACCCAGGCUCUGCAGACGGGGAUGCCAGGCCCCUGCGGCGCCCUCUGGCCAGAUCUGUGGCUGAGAGUGCACCGGUUUCCUUGGGGUGUCUCUCCUGGCCGAGGUCUUGUGCCUCAGUAAAUGCAGACCCAAAAUAAACCACCUUCUUGGGUGACUGAGAACCCGGAAGAGAAUUCUGGAAACAAGUUCCAUCUUGUUCAUAGAAAUGGUGUUGGACACAACACAAAACCCUUCCACGGGUGCGCUGUGGAAACCGUAAUCCUUUGCCAAUUCCCGGCUGCAUGUGCUCCCUCCUCUUUUAAAGUGGAUAGACGCAAGCUGUCUAGCUACUUGGCUGUCUUGUUCAAAUAAAUGCGAUUUCAUCAAAUCACCCAGGAAGUGCAAAAUGCAGUCUCUGGGGGGCGACGGAGCUAAUACCCGUCUCAGUGCUGAAACUGUUCUCCUGUUGGCUCCUACGCCGUGGCUUUUCUACGUGGCUUUCGGUGGUGGCAAACAGCAGAGACGCGCCCAAGCGGCUGACGAUUUUCAUGGAAAGGUGAGGCUGCUUCAGGGCGGCACUCCAGGGCACAGGGACGGCAGGGCUGUCCUGGCUUCAUGUGGCCGGGGGCACCUGAGCAGCAGACGUGCAGGAACUCGCCACUGACACCUACCUGUGGUCUCUGGUAGCUGCGCUGCGGGAACAGAUGAUCACAAACAAGGUGGCUUCAAGCAACAAACCUUCCCCGCAGUCCUGGAAGCCAGCGUCCAAAACAGCAUCACUAGGCUGGCCCUGAGGUGUCAUCAGGGCCGUGUUCCCGGGAGGGCUCUGGGGCAGGGUCCUUCCCAGCCUCCUGGCAGCACCAUUUGUAUCUCUGCCCCCAUCCACGUCCCACUCCCACCGCCCCCACCUUCAUGCAGCCCCCUUCCCUGUGUGUGUCCUCUAUGAGGACCUUGGUGAUGACGCUGGCUUACCCAGUGCUACACUUUGGACAUUGGCCCCUUCCAAUCCUCACGUUAAAAUGUAAUCCCAGUGUGGUGGUGUCGGGAGUGGGGCCGAGCAGGAGGUGUCCGGGCCAUAGCGGUGGAUCCCCCAUGAACAGAUCAAUGCCCUCCCCUCCGAGGAGCUGUGUGACCUGGGCUGUUCACCCACAGGAGACCCUACUUCGUGGGACCACAUGGAAAGGGCUCAGCACAGGACUGGGCAGGGUACCACCAUGCACUGAAAGGUACCCAAACCACCAGGCACCGUGUCAUUCAUCAGAAAGACAUCCACGUCAAGGCCUUCUUUGUCUUUUCCCUCCCAUUUCAUCCUUGUCCUUCCCUGCCCAUUAUUAAAAUUGGGCCAUAUUAAAAUGGAGCCAUUCUGAACGUC